rnacentral:rRNA from 1 species
GGACCCGACUGCUAUCAGAGUGGGACUAAGCCAUGCGAGUCAACAUAGCAAUAUGUGGCAUACGGCUCAGUAACACGUAGUCAACAUGCCCAGGGGACGUGGAUAACCUCGGGAAACUGAGGAUAAACCGCGAUAGGUCAUCACYUCUGGAAUGGKWAAUGACUUAAACCUAUAUGGCCCCUGGAUUGGACUGCGGCCGAUCAGGCUGUUGGUGAGGUAAUGGCCCACCAAACCUGUAACCGGUACGGGCUCUGAGAGGAGGAGCCCGGAGAUGGGCACUGAGACAAGGGCCCAGGCCCUAUGGGGCGCAGCAGGCGCGAAACCUCUGCAAUAGGCGAAAGCUUGACAGGGUUACUCUGAGUGAUUUCCGUUAAGGAGAUCUUUUGGCACCUCUAAAAAUGGUGCAGAAUAAGGGGUGGGCAAGUCUGGUGUCAGCCGCCGCGGUAAUACCAGCACCCCGAGUGGUCGGGACGUUUAUUGGGCCUAAAGCAUCCGUAGCCGGUUCUACAAGUCUUCCGUUAAAUCCACCUGCUUAACAGAUGGGCUGCGGAAGAUACUAUAGAGCUAGGAGGCGGGAGAGGCAAGCGGUACUCGAUGGGUAGGGGUAAAAUCCGUUGAUCCAUUGAAGACCACCAGUGGCGAAGGCGGCUUGCCAGAACGCGCUCGACGGUGAGGGAUGAAAGCUGGGGGAGCAAACCGGAUUAGAUACCCGGGUAGUCCCAGCUGUAAACGAUGCAGACUCGGUGAUGAGUUGGCUUAUUGCUAACUCAGUGCCGCAGGGAAGCCGUUAAGUUUGCCGCCUGGGGAGUACGGUCGCAAGACUGAAACUUAAAGGAAUUGGCGGGGGAGCACCACAAGGGGUGAAGCCUGCGGUUCAAUUGGAGUCAACGCCGGAAAUCUUACCGGGGGCGACAGCAGAGUGAAGGUCAAGCUGAAGACUUUACCAGACAAGCUGAGAGGAGGUGCAUGGCCGUCGCCAGCUCGUGCCGUGAGGUGUCCUGUUAAGUCAGGUAACGAGCGAGACCCC